rnacentral:piRNA from 1 species
UGGUGGUGUUCUGCGCAUUUGCAGAGUGA